rnacentral:rRNA from 1 species
AAAAAUAACGAUACGGGACUCUAUUGAGGCCCCGUAAUCGGAAUGAGUACACUUUAAAUCCUUUAACAAGGAUCCAUUGGAGGGCAAGUCUGGUGCCAGCAGCCGCGGUAAUUCCAGCUCCAAUAGCGUAUAUUAAAGUUGUUGCGGUUAAAAAGCUCGUAGUUGGUUCUGCGUGCCGCGCUGUCGGUUCGCCGCCUGUCGGUGUAACUGGCAUGUCGCGGCAUGUCCUGUCGGUGGUGAACGGAGUCCACAAUGCUACAUAGGCUUUAUAGCCGAUGUUAGCGUCGUGUGUACUUCCGUUGGCCGAUCUCUCCUACUUCGGUGCUCUUAAACGAGUGUCGAGGUAGGCCGACACGUUCACUUUGAACAAAUUAGAGUGCUUAAAGCAGGCUGAAAUAUCUGCCUGAAUAGUGGUGCAUGGAAUGAUAAAACAGGACCUCGGUUCUAUUUUGUUGGUUUUAGGAAUAUGAGGUAAUGAUCAAUGUGGACUGGCGGGGGCAUUCGUAUUGCGACGUUAGAGGUGAAAUUCUUGGAUCGUCGCAAGACGCACUAGAGCGAAAGCAUUUGCCAAGUAUGUCUUAAUUGAUCAAGAACGAAAGUUAGAGGUUCGAAGGCGAUCAGAUACCGCCCUAGUUCUAACCAUAAACGAUGCCAGCCAGCGAUCCGCCGAUGUUCCUUUAAUGACUCGGCGGGGAGCUUCCACCCGGGAAACCAAAGCUUUUGGGUUCCGGGGGAAGUAUGGUUGCAAAGCUGAAACUUAUAGGAAUUGACGGAAGGGCACCACCAGGAG